rnacentral:tRNA from 1 species
GGAGAGAUGGCUCAGCAGUUAAGAGCAGUGGCUGCUCUUCCAGAGGACCUGGGUUCAAUUCCCAGCAUCUACA